rnacentral:tRNA from 1 species
GCCCUAGUAGCUUAACCUAACAAAGCAUCGGUCUUGUAAUCCGAAGAUCGGAAGUUAAACCCCUCCCUAGCGCC